rnacentral:rRNA from 1 species
UACGUAGGGUGCGAGCGUUAAUCGGAAUUACUGGGCGUAAAGCGUGCGCAGGCGGUUUUGUAAGUCAGAUGUGAAAUCCCCGGGCUUAACCUGGGAACUGCAUUUGUGACUGCAUCGCUGGAGUGCGGCAGAGGGGGAUGGAAUUCCGCGUGUAGCAGUGAAAUGCGUAGAUAUGCGGAGGAACACCGAUGGCGAAGGCAAUCCCCUGGGCCUGCACUGACGCUCAUGCACGAAAGCGUGGGGAGCAAACAGG